AUUUCUCCGUAACCGCACCGCGUCAGCCCACACCGUGAGCAAAUUUGCAACAAAAUGGCCGGUGUUUAGGUAGCGCGAAUUUGCAUUUUCGCGUUUUACGGCUAUCCGUGCGGAAAACAGGGCUCGUUCGCCGAGAAAAACUACUCCUUUCUCAAUGUUUAUUCAUUCCAAGUGAUUCUCGUGUAACGAGAGAACAGAUUCAUUUCUCGUAUCGGCCAAUUUCAAUCCUCGCGUAUUUUAUUAUCGACGUAACGUGUGUGUUCAUAUUGAUUACAAAGAGAUUAAAAUCUGUUGAAGAAUUCUUUUAAUGAUUAAAAACAAUACAAUUAACAACAUAAUUAAAAACUCAUUAAUAAUAUUUUAUUUUACUUGACAGUAUUUUGAGAGUAUCCUUGUUUUUGAUGUCUUGACAACUGUUCCUGAAGAGAAAGAAAAGCAGGCGACAUGUAAAUUUCCUUAUUAUCAAAAAUGAAGGUUUAACGGAUAUAUAUGACAAAUAAAAAAACCAAUGCAGUGAAGAAAUAACGGAUUAUUGUUCUCCUUGGCUUUUCUCGACUUCCAUCGAAGCCAGUUGUUCUUCGAAACUAAUUGGCCAUCGGUUAACUUACCUCGUUAGCCAACGUCCCAAUACUUGCAAAACGGGCGUGCGGUUGAAUCAUAAAAGCGACGUGCCCAUCGGUUGCAUCGAAAAGGAAAUAAAGAAGGCGUGAGGAGACACGAGCCAUCUUGUCACCGAUUACGAAAGGAGGAAAUUAUUACGCGUCCCCAUACGCGUUGUAAAAUGUCAUCGAGAAACGUCGAAAAACUCAUUUCUUUCUUUCGAUUCUUGGGGUUUAUAAAAAAAACGUGCGUGAAUCGUACACGUCUUUUCUGAAAAUUGCGUUUCAUUUCAAUUAACCGACGAUUAACGACACACGCUGUCCGAUCCGCAAUUAUUUAAAGCGAUUAUGGCCGAUUAUCGAUUGUCCAUGAUUUUUCAAUGAAUCUGUUUUCUUUCUGACGGUACAAUAAAAAAUGGAAAAUAGAAUUUUUCACUAUCAGAAUAUCAAAGUCUCUGUCUUUUAAAUGGCGAUUGUAGUACAUGAUAAUAUUCCAAAAGUUCCUUUGAGAGAACGCGGCAAUUUAAAUGAUAGAUCAUAAUCAUUGAUGAUUUAUGAAUAUGAAUAUAAAUUGUAUAAGAUUCUGAUUAUUAGAAUGUUUUAGAGGAAAAUUAUUUCUCGAUAAAUGAGAAAAUACACUCGUAAAAAUAUAAAUUCAUUUGCCAAGAAAAAAGGAAAAAACAUAUUCAUUGUAUAGAAAAAAAAUAAAUAAAAAAUGUAACGUUAAAAUAUUCCCAAACCCUUAUAAUCCUAUGCCUCGUCUUUUUUUAUCAUUAAAAUAAGAAAAUUGAACUUUUGAAAUACGCUUUUGUCCUUACAUGUAAUAAAAUUGAUGAUAUAGCAGGGUAAGAACAUAUGGAAA